GAUGAACGCUGGCGGCGUGCCUAAUACAUGCCAGUCGAGCGAACAGACGAGGAGCUUGCUCCUCUGACGUUAGCGGCGGACGGGUGAGUAACACGUGGAUAACCUACCUAUAAGACUGGGAUAACUUCGGGAAACCGGAGCUAAUACCGGAUAAUAUAUUGAACCGCAUGGUUCAAUAGUGAAAGACGGUUUUGCUGUCACUUAUAGAUGGAUCCGCGCCGCAUUAGCUAGUUGGUAAGGUAACGGCUUACCAAGGCAACGAUGCGUAGCCGACCUGAGAGGGGGAUCGGCCACACUGGAACUGAGACACGGUCCAGACGCCUACGGGAGGCAGCAGUAGGGAAUCUGCCGCAGUGGGCGAAAGCCUGACGGAGCAACGCCGCGUGAGUGAUGAAGGUCUUCGGAUCGUAAAACUCUGUUAUUAGGGAAGAACAAAUGUGUAAGUAACUAUGCACGUCUUGACGGUACCUAAUCAGAAAGCCACGGCUAACUACGUG
rnacentral:rRNA from 1 species